UAUUAUUUUAAUUGUGAAAGAAGGGCCUGAGUAGUAUUAGUUAAGAGCUUAAAACUCAAAGAAUUUGGCGGUGUUUCAGUCUUUUCAGAGGAAUCUGUCCUGUAAUCGACAAUACACGUUAUAUGUCACUUGGUUUUGUUAUAUUCAGCUUGUAUACCGCUGUUAUAAGGAUAUCUUUUUAGAGGAGCAAUUUUCUUAAAAUUUAUAAAAUUAUAUGUCAGGUCAAGGUGCAGUUUAUGAUCAAGAAAGAGAUGGAUUACAAUAAAAUUAUUUAAACGGAAUCUAUAAUGUGAUUUAUAGAGGAAGGUGGAUUUGAAAGUAAUAAUAUCAUAUUAAGAUGUUAUGAUUAAAGCACUGAAACAUGUACACAUCGCCCGUCGCUCUCAUUAUUAAGAUGAG
rnacentral:rRNA from 1 species